rnacentral:rRNA from 1 species
GAUGAACGCUAGCGGCAGGCUUAAUACAUGCAAGUCGAGGGGGCAGCAAUGUCACCGGCGGACGGGUGCGUAACGCGUAUGGAACCUACCUUUAUCAGGGGGAUAGCCCGGGGAAACCCGGAUUAAUACCGCAUAAUCUAUUGAACGGCAUCGUUUAAUAUUGAAAGAUUUAUUGGAUAGAGAUGGUCAUGCGUAGGAUUAGCUCGUUGGUAAGGUAACGGCUUACCAAGGCGACGCUCCUUAGGGGCUCUGAGAGGAGUAACCCCCACACUGGCACUGAGAUACGGGCCAGACUCCUACGGGAGGCAGCAGUAGGGAAUAGUGGGCAAUGGGCGAGAGCCUGACCCAGCCAUGCCGCGUGCAGGAAGACGGCCCUCUGGGUUGUAAACUGCUUUUGAAUGGGAAGAACAGUAAGCCUGCGGGCUUAAUUGACGGUACCAUUAGAAUAAGCCACGGCUAACUACGUGCCAGCCGCCGCAGUAA